rnacentral:lncRNA from 1 species
ACAGGCUUCUACUCCUCAUGAAGAAAUUAUGGGCAGUUAAUGGGUGUUGGGAAGGAGGUGGUCAUCCCACCCCCACCCCACCCCUCGAGGAGCUCCAUCUGUUCUAGAAAGCAAACGGAAGACCAGAUUUUCAACACACACGAGCUCUAGACAUCUGUCCUGCAUUUUCAGUUGUCCUGUGUUUCCACCAACAUCCUUGACAAAUGGAUUUUCCAUCAACACAGCACUUCAUAGUAUGAACUCAACGCUAUUAACUAGUUAGUGAACGAACACAUAUUCUACAUCGAGAUGGAAAAGCUGAUUACUAAAAAAGGAAUUUGUCAGGUAAUGACAGAAGAUAAGCAAAUAUCAUGUUCCUGAACCUAAUAAAGAGAAAAAUGUUAUGAAAUCAUCAUUACAA